AUUGAACGCUGGCGGCAUGCCUUACACAUGCGAGUCGAACGGCAGCACGGGUGCUUGCACCUGGUGGCGAGUGGCGAACGGGUGAGUAAUACAUCGGAACAUGUCCUGUCGUGGGGGAUAGCCCGGCGAAAGCCGGAUUAAUACCGCAUACGAUCUACGGAUGAAAGCGGGGGACCUUCGGGCCUCGCGCUAUAGGGUUGGCCGAUGGCUGAUUAGCUAGUUGGUGGGGUAAAGGCCUACCAAGGCGACGAUCAGUAGCUGGUCUGAGAGGACGACCAGCCACACGGGGACUGAGACACGGCCCAGACUCCUACGGGAGGCAGCAGUGGGGAAUUUUGGACAAUGGGCGAAAGCCUGAUCCAGCAAUGCCGCGUGUGUGAAGAAGGCCUUCGGGUUGUAAAGCACUUUUGGCCGGAAAGAAAUACUUGGCUCUAAUACAGUCGGGGGAUGACGGUACCGGAAGAAUAAGCACCGGCUAACUACGUG
rnacentral:rRNA from 1 species